UACGUAGGGGGCAAGCGUUGUCCGGAAUCAUUGGGCGUAAAGAGCGUGUAGGCGGCCCGAUAAGUCCGCUGUGAAAGUCCAGGGCUCAACCCUGGAAUGCCGGUGGAUACUGUCGGGCUCGAAUCCGGAAGAGGUGAGUGGAAUUCCUGGUGUAGCGGUGAAAUGCACAGAUAUCAGGAGGAACACCAAUGGCGAAGGCAGCUCACUGGGACGGUAUUGACGCUGAGACGCGAAAGCGUGGGGAGCAAACAGG
rnacentral:rRNA from 1 species